rnacentral:tRNA from 8 species
CGGGAUGUAGCGCAGCCCGGUAGCGCGCUUCGUUCGGGACGAAGAGGCCGCUGGUUCGAAUCCAGUCAUCCCGACCA